GAUGAACGCUAGCGGCAGGCCUAAUACAUGCAAGUCGGACGGGAUUCGGUGCUUCGGCACCGAUGAGAGUGGCGCACGGGUGCGUAACGCGUGAGCAACCUGCCCAUUUCAGGGGGAUAGCCCGGAGAAAUCCGGAUUAAGCCCGCAUAUGAUCACGGUGCCGCAUGGCGGAGUGAUGAAAUAUUUAUAGGAAAUGGAUGGGCUCGCGUGACAUUAGCUAGUUGGUAGGGUAACGGCCUACCAAGGCGACGAUGUCUAGGGGCUCUGAGAGGAGAAUCCCCCACACUGGUACUGAGACACGGACCAGACUCCUACGGGAGGCAGCAGUAAGGAAUAUUGGUCAAUGGAGGGAACUCUGAACCAGCCAUGCCGCGUGCAGGAAGACGGCCCUACGGGUUGUAAACUGCUUUUGCACGGGAAUAACCCUCAUU
rnacentral:rRNA from 1 species